rnacentral:sRNA from 1 species
ACACGAGAGAGGAGGUGGUCCAAAGUUGUAUUCCAACAGGACUCGUGAGGUGGCUGUCCGCUAGCGGACCCCACGCGUAGGACUUCAGAGCAGCGAUACAACGCAAGUUGGAGCCACCUUCGGCUCGUCGUCUCUGCUUCGCGUGAUGCCUGCUAGCGAAUACCAGGCAGUCACCGGGCCCCCGAGGUUCCCGAGCACCGGUCCGGCUCGGGCCCGGACGCCGAUUCCCGGCGUCCGGGAGCCGCCUCGG